AACGAACGCUGGCGGCAGGCCUAACACAUGCAAGUCGAGCGCACCUUCGGGUGAGCGGCGGACGGGUUAGUAACGCGUGGGAACGUACCCUUUUCUACGGAAUAGCCUUUGGAAACGAAGAGUAAUACCGUAUACGCCCUUUGGGGGAAAGAUUUAUCGGAGAAGGAUCGGCCCGCGUUAGAUUAGAUAGUUGGUGGGGUAACGGCCUACCAAGUCUACGAUCUAUAGCUGGUUUUAGAGGAUGAUCAGCAACACUGGGACUGAGACACGGCCCAGACUCCUACGGGAGGCAGCAGUGGGGAAUCUUAGACAAUGGGCGCAAGCCUGAUCUAGCCAUGCCGCGUGAGUGAUGAAGGCCUUAGGGUCGUAAAGCUCUUUCGCCUGCGAUGAUAAUGACAGUAGCAGGUAAAGAAACCCCGGCUAACUCCGUGCCAGCAGCCGCGGUAAUACGGAGGGGGUUAGCGUUGUUCGGAAUUACUGGGCGUAAAGCGCACGUAGGCGGAUUGGAAAGUUGGGGGUGAAAUCCCGGGGCUCAACCCCGGAACUGCCUCCAAAACUAUCAGUCUAGAGUUCGAGAGAGGUGAGUGGAAUUCCAAGUGUAGAGGUGAAAUUCGUAGAUAUUUGGAGGAACACCAGUGGCGAAGGCGGCUCACUGGCUCGACACUGACGCUGAG
rnacentral:rRNA from 1 species